rnacentral:rRNA from 1 species
UACGUAGGUGGCAAGCGUUGUCCGGAUUACUGGGUGUAAAGGGCGUGUAGCCGGGCUGACAAGUCAGAUGUGAAAUCCGGGGGCUCAACCCCCGAACUGCAUUUGAAACUGUUGGUCUUGAGUAUCGGAGAGGCAGGCGGAAUUCCUAGUGUAGCGGUGAAAUGCGUAGAUAUUAGGAGGAACACCAGUGGCGAAGGCGGCCUGCUGGACGACAACUGACGGUGAGGCGCGAAAGCGUGGGGAGCAAACAGG